GGCUAAUAGGGUACUUAGCAUUUGUGACUGCUUGAGACUUCCAAACUUUCAGGCUCAAACAUUUGAACUAUUUCUGACAGUCUGAUUUACUUUGCAGAAGGCCAUUAUUGAGAACUCAUGAAAACUUGUGAUGCCGGCUUGCCUCCAGGUCGAAAAAGAAGAUGGAAGCACUGCAGGUCUCUUUCCAGGAUAAAACCAGUUUGAUCGAAUGAAAUGUAGUCGCCGAUGACAUGAUUCAAGCCUUGGGAAGCAGAUAAAGAAAUUAUUUUACCAAGCAAAUAAGCUUUGAAAGCACCCCAAAUAAUUGGAAGAGGGACAUUGUCUGUUAAGUUGCGUUCAAAGAAUUCCUGAAUGCCUGCUCAAUUUGCUGCGUGACUUUUGGGUUUUUUAGUAAAAAGUUAUUAAACCUUCAA